GGGCAUCCGGGUCCCUCGCCCCGCCCCGUCCAUGAAUGAGAGGCGGGCGCGCGCCCCUCCCCCCCGGCCCGCCCUCGCCGGGGCCGCCGCGCAGUCAGCGGACGCCGCCUCAGCCCCGCUGUCCGCGCCGUCGCUCCCGCCGCCGCCCGGGCCCUGGCUGACGGCCGCUGCCGGCGCGCGCGAUUGGCUUUUAUGCCCACCCCUACGAGAACCAGGAGACGAUGGCCAUUAAUGUCAAGUGAGAUCUGACUCUGAGGAGGAAGACUCGUUCACAGCCAUUCGCCAAACUUCAAAAAUGCCGAGACUCCAGCAGCUGCAGGUAGAGUGGUUCCGCGUGACGUAGACAUUGCUCUUCUGUUGCAUUUGGAUUUCCUUCUUGUGAGGAAAAACAUGUUUUGUUGAGGGAAAGGAUCAGCUUUUCUUGAAAGUUAAGCAGAUAUUGUAUUGCAUGUAGAGUUUAUGUCAUAUUGAGGAUUGGAACUGCCCCUUGCUUUGUGUUUUUUCAUGGCCUUUUUGUAAUUAUGAGGUGAAGUGCAACUUGAGAUUGUUUUCCUCCUCUGUAAUUUGCUUUCCAUUUCAUCCUCCUCCUCUCUCAGCAGUAGUCUGUGCUCUUGUUCCUGCACCCACCCUCUUUUAAGUUCUCCUUCCCUUAGUUAUUUGCAAGACUGAAUUAAAUAAUUAGAAGGCAAUAGUUAAAUGCUAGUAAGCAGACUCUCUGUAAGAUUAUAAUACACGCAAGGUCAUACCUGGGAUAGAAAGGGUCAGAAGGGAUGUGAAACAUCCAGUUUGAAUUCCUCACCAUCCAAAGUGAAGUCUCAAAAGAAUCAAUGGAAUUAUUUAAAUUGAAAAUGAAGACCUCACCAGUUCACAGAAAUAGGGGGGAAAAAGGCUUUAUGAAGCUUACACAGAGAAUAAUUACUAGAAAUAUGGCGAAGUCAAAAUAGACCCACCAAAAUAAAAAAACAUCUGAAAUAAAAAAUGGUCAUGAAUACAAACUUCAUUUAUGGCAAACAGAUUAAAAUUAGCCCUGUCAGCUUGAUUCUAAACUUUGGCAACACUAGCAAAGAGGAAAACUGUGCACAAACCCAGAGAAAACAAUGGUAACUGAAUAAAUGGGAAAAAGCCCAAACUGCAAAAGAAAUGGAAUUGUCAAUAAUGAAGCUGGAAAGGAUAAAAGUCACAAAGACUAUUAAAAGUAACUGGUUAGAAUUUAAAAACAGCAACAACAAACCUGAAGCAUUGUGAUAAAAGGUAUUUAAAAAUGUACGGUAUCCUUUAAGGAAAAAAAUGGAAUCACACUAAUGGGAAGUCAGCAAAAUUAACACUCACGGAAAGCUCAACAUGAAAAUAUAGGUGGGACAGACAAAUAGGUUAUAACAAUUCCAGUAGGCCUAGUGAUGUGCUCUUGCAAUUCUCUGAAUAAUGGUGUGAGGGGAGUGAGGUCAGUGAUUACAAAUAAGAGGAAGCCUCAGUAAAGGAAAAAUUGAAGAAAUUACUGUAAAGAAAAGUAAACCUUUGCCUACAGAUUUUCAGGGUUUAUGGAGUACUUCUUUCUAAGAGUUGGCACUUAGAGACAGUAUGACCUGAUCCCUACUUAUCAGUUUCUCAAAGCUGGCAAGAAGGAAGAACUGUUGUUUGGAGAAUAAAAGAUAGGCAUUGCCUCAGACCUUGCAGCACGAAUGAUGAGAAGAUGCACUUAGAGAUGCGUUUACAGGACACUGGCCAAUUAUCUUGCCUCGCUUGUCUGCCUUUUGAAGUUAAAAGACUUUCAAACGUUCAUAUCUUAGAAGAUACCAAUAGCCAACUACCAGAGAAGAUUAUAAAAAACUGGGAAUGCAGAGAAGACUUUUGGCUUAUUUAUUUAUUUGUUUGUUUUUAAUUUUUUAGGAGGUACUGGGUACAGGCUGUUGAACCCCAGACCUCAUCCAUGCAAAGCAGGCACUCAACCACUGAGCUACUCCCACUCGAGAGGAACCCUUCUGAAACAUAAGCAGCAGGCUGCGGCACUUGGGAGGGUGCAAGGUGGUGAUACCGUCAGCAGUGCAGCGUGGCUGCUCAGGCACAACACCUCCUAGCACAGGUCUCCACCGGAGGUGCUGCUUUCUUGGCUCUAGGCCUCCACGCAAAAAAUACAGAAAUGAAACCCUGCCUCUUUUUCAGGAUGACGAAGUCCUAACUGAAGCUGCCCAGACCGCCAACUUAGAGAUUUAUGAUAAGAAAUAGAAUUCUCAGGUGAACUUGAAUUUGAGUAAAACUUUCUCAUUCUUUCUCUUAGGCUAGUCACAUGGAGAGAGCAAAAUUUAAGUCAUUGUAAACUCUGGUGAAUUUAGAGCUACAGUAAAGGAAUGUAAGUGGUCCUAAGUGUUUCUCCACUCAAGUUGAGGUAAUUUUCCCUGG
rnacentral:lncRNA from 1 species